UGGGGAAUAUUGGACAAUGGGGGAAACCCUGAUCCAGCAAUGCCGCGUGAGUGAUGAAGGCCUUCGGGUUGUAAAGCUCUUUUAUCGGGGACGAUGAUGACGGUACCCGAUGAAUAAGCUCCGGCUAACUUCGUGCCAGCAGCCGCGGUAAUACGAGGGGAGCUAGCGUUGUUCGGAAUUACUGGGCGUAAAGGGCGCGUAGGCGGUACUAUAAGUCAGAUGUGAAAGCCCUGGGCUUAACCUAGGAGGUGCAUUUGAAACUGUAGAACUAGAGAUCGAGAGAGGAAAGUGGAAUUACGAGUGUAGAGGUGAAAUUCGUAGAUAUUCGUAAGAACACCAGUGGCGUAAGGCGACUUUCUGGCUCGAUACUGACGCUAAGGCGCGAAAGCGUGGGGAGCAAACAGGAUUAGAUACCCCCGUAGUCCCUGAGCGGGCUGGCAAGGCGCAU
rnacentral:rRNA from 1 species